rnacentral:rRNA from 1 species
AGUUUGAUCCUGGCUCAGGAUGAACGGUAGCGGCAGGCCUAACACAUGCAAGUCGAACGGUAACAUAGAUGGCUUGCAAUCUGAUGACGAGUGGCGCACGGGUGCGUAACGCGUAUGCAAUUUACCUUUUACAGGAGAAUAGCCCAGAGAAAUUUGGAAUAAUGCUCCAUAAUAUCAUUUAUCAGCAUUGGUUUAUGAUUAAAGCUCCGGCGGUAAAAGAUGAGCAUGCGUUCUAUUAGCUAGUAGGUGAGGUAACGGCUCACCUAGGCUACGAUAGAUAGGGGCCCUGAGAGGGGGAUCCCCCACACUGGUACUGAGACACGGACCAGACUCCUACGGGAGGCAGCAGUGAGGAAUAUUGGACAAUGGAGGAAACUCUGAUCCAGCCAUGCCGCGUGCAGGAUGACUGCCCUAUGGGUUGUAAACUGCUUUUAUAUAGGAAGAAACACUCCCACGUGUGGGGGCUUGACGGUACUAUA